rnacentral:lncRNA from 1 species
CCUAUAGUAUUGAGAGUUUUUACUUUUUUAUUAUUAAUGUAAAACCCCUGGUCUGAACCUCUAUUGAUUAACUGGCAUCAGUCCAAGCAUAUCUUCAUGUAAAUGUUCAUUUAACAUAUGUAUUAUUUUUUAUACCAGAAAGAAAGAAAAUGGACAUUCUCCCUUUUCCAAAUCAAUGUCUCUUAAGUAGAGGACUGAUUUGACAUGUCAGGUCUUGCUGGCUGUUCAAGACCCAUGUAAUUUUUGGUCUUUUACAAGAAAAUACUCUGAUUUUUCCUUUGCAUAAAUUUGCAGCAGAUAAAAUAAAGUCACUUUCACUGUACAUCAGCAGGCUUAUGGAUGGCUGCUUCUGUCUUGCAUUAAUUUUUAGAUGGCAUGUUCUAGGUGAUUGGUUUCCCUUCUAGAAAUUAGCAUCAUUUUUCUACCUGUCUUGACAAUGGCAUCACUCUGCCUUUAAGUAAAUGUACUUAUAACCUUUCAAAAUCUUUACAUGCUUUGUAGCUGAGAACU